rnacentral:rRNA from 1 species
CUGCUGCCUUCCGUAGGAGUUUGGACCGUGUCUCAGUUCCAAUGUGGGGGACCUUCCUCUCAGAACCCCUACGCAUCGUCGGCUUGGUGGGCCGUUGCCCCACCAACUACCUAAUGCGCCGCAUGCCCAUCCGUGACCGGAGUCGCCCCCUUUGGCCGGAAAGGGACGUCCCUUCCCGGCGUCAUGCUGUAUUAGGCGGGAUUUCUCCCGGUUAUCCAUCUGUCACGGCCAGGUUGCAUACGUGUUACUCACCCGUGCGCCGGUCGCCGGCGG